CGAACGCUGGCGGCAUGCCUAGCACAUGCAAGUCGAACGGGAUCCUGGCUUCGGUCAGGUGAGAGUGGCGGACGGGUGAGUAAUGCAUCGGAACGUACCCAGUCGUGGGGGAUAACUACGCGAAAGCGUGGCUAAUACCGCAUACGCCCUGAGGGGGAAAGCGGGGGACCUUCGGGCCUCGCGCGAUUGGAGCGGCUGAUGUCGGAUUAGCUGGUUGGUGGGGUAAAGGCCUACCAAGGCGACGAUCCGUAGCUGGUCUGAGAGGAUGAUCAGCCACACUGGGACUGAGACACGGCCCAGACUCCUACGGGAGGCAGCAGUGGGGAAUUUUGGACAAUGGGCGCAAGCCUGAUCCAGCCAUGCCGCGUGAGUGAAGAAGGCCUUCGGGUUGUAAAGCUCUUUCAGACGGAAAGAAAUCGGGCGGGUGAAUAGCCUGCCUGGAUGACGGUACUGUCAGAAGAAGCACCGGCUAACUACGU
rnacentral:rRNA from 1 species